rnacentral:SRP_RNA from 1 species
GCCGGGCAUGGUGGCUCAUGCCUGUAACCCUAGCACUUUGGGAGGCUGAGGCAGGUGGAUCGCUUGAGCCCAGGAGUUCAAGACCAGCCUGGGCAACAUAGCAAGACCUUGUCUCUU